CUACGGGUUGCUCCAGUGGGGAAUAUUGCACAAUGGAGGAAACUCUAAUGCAGCAACGCCGCGUGGAGGAUGACACUUUUCGGAGCGUAAACUCCUUUUAUAUAGGAAGAAGAUGACGGUACUAUAUGAAUAAGCGCCGGCUAACUCCGUGCCAGCAGCCGCGGUAAUACGGAGGGCGCAAGCGUUACUCGGAAUCACUGGGCGUAAAGAGCGUGUAGGCGGAUUAAAAAGUCAGAAGUGAAAUCCUAUAGCUUAACUAUAGAACUGCUUCUGAAACUCUUAAUCUAGAAUGUGGGAGAGGUAGAUGGAAUUUCUGGUGUAGGGGUAAAAUCCGUAGAGAUCAGAAGGAAUACCGAUUGCGAAGGCGAUCUACUAGAACAUUAUUGACGCUGAGACGCGAAAGCGUGGGGAGCAAACAGGAUUAGAUACCCCAGUAGUC
rnacentral:rRNA from 1 species